rnacentral:lncRNA from 1 species
GGCUGUGUAAUAUGCCAUCUAAAUAUUUGCCGAAAAACGUCCUUAUGUCAAGACUUUUGGUGUUUUACCACAAAUGUACUGAAAAUAACUUUGGCUUUGUGAAUGAUGUCAUCCAGAUUAUGCAGAAAUACGAUUUAGUAGGCCAUAUUGAAAAACUAAUAUCGACAAGUUACUUUCCUAAGCAGAAGCAAUGGAAAUCGAUAGUUAAAAAACGCGUAUAUGAGUAUGAAG